GCGGCGUGCUUAACACAUGCAAGUCGAGCGGAAAGGCCCUUCGGGGGUACUCGAGCGGCGAACGGGUGAGUAACACGUGAGUAACCUGCCCUUGGCUCUGGGAUAAGCCCGGGAAACUGGGUCUAAUACCGGAUAUGACCACCUUCUGCAUGGAGGGUGGUGGAAAGUUUUUCGGCUGAGGAUGGACUCGCGGUCUAUCAGCUUGUUGGUGGGGUGAUGGCCUACCAAGGCGACGACGGAUAGCCGGCCUGAGAGGGUGACCGGCCACACUGGGACUGAGACACGGCCCAGACUCCUACGGGAGGCAGCAGUGGGGAAUAUUGCGCAAUGGGCGAAAGCCUGACGCAGCGACGCCGCGUGGGGGAUGAAGGCCUUCGGGUUGUAAACCUCUUUCACCACCGACGAAGCUAACGUGACGGUAG
rnacentral:rRNA from 1 species